CCGCGCCCCGGCCGCGCCCCUAUUUAUAACGUGUGCCGCGAGCGGAUUGGUUGGACCGGGCUGUCCGCAGAACCGCCCCCCCUUCCGCCGCCAUGUUGUGUGGUGGGGCGGGGGCGGCUCGGGGGCUGCCGUGAGGCGGGCGGAGGGCGAGUCGAGGCGGCGCGGGCGCUGCUGGCGCUGGGCAGGGGCGCUGUGCUGGGAAGAAGAGAGGGCGCGGGCUGCUGGGCUCGCUUCUGCUGAGGGAAUGGCGGAUGCCGUGAUCCGCAGUGGCGGCGAGAUGGAGCCGGAGCAGCAUCAGCGGAUGGAGAAGACCAGCGCGGGCGUCCUCGGACUGGAGAGUAACAGAGCAGGAGCCGCUGAGGACACCACACAAAAUGGCGGACGCUCUGAGAGCGGUAGCUCUGGGGAGGCGCUGCUGGUGGCUGCUCUUGCUGCAGAAGACAAGGUCCCCACAAACCUCAGCAUCAGUAGCAGCAGCCAGCGCAGGAGCAGCAUCUCGACGGCAAAUGAACAGCAGCAGCAGCAGCCGCCCAGCGGUGUGCUCGGGGGGCCGCCCCCUCUCCCUAAGCCCUCAGAAGACCAGCAGCCUGUUAGGAGGAACUUUCAGAUCCCCAGGAAGAGCAGAGAAAAGAAAGCACUCUUUCAACCAGUAUCUCCAGGGUCUCGAGAAUUUGAGGAGAUUAUCAACAUUCUGCAUUGUUCCUACUUGGAUCAGAGUUCAGUGUCCAAUUUUAAAUACAAGAGAGCCAGCUUAGUUCAUAGUGAACUGUUGGAAAAGGAAUUCACAGAGAAACGCAGAGAGCUGAAGCGGGACGGGCGCCUGGACAAGGAGCUCUCGGAGAGUUAUGCCUUCCUCAUGGUGGAUCAGUGCCAGAUCCGGAGCAUAUGUGAAAAGGGGCUGCAGGUUGGCCACUCCAAAAUCACAAUUCUCGGCAGCCCUUCCAUGGGUGUAUAUAUCUCCAGGUAUGCUGAUUUAUUGCAGCCUAAUCCUCUAGAAUCUGGAGCAACUGGAGAUGUGAUUGUUUUUAAAAUAAUAAAGGGAAAAAUGAAAAGUGUAUCUGACUACAUUGGUAUGAAAGCAAUGGAAUCAACUGUCAAGAAUGUGUUGGAUCCCACCCCAAACCACGAGUGUCAUGUUUCAAAGAAUGCAGUUAAAGUCGCCUCCUUGCUGGCUUACCGAGCCUACGAACUCACUCAGUACUACUUUUAUGAAUACGGCUUUGAUGAGAUCAGGCAAAGACCAAGACAUGUUUGUCCUUUUGCUGUUGUUUCAUUUACUUACAAAGAUGACAUGGCACAAGGACCAAAAUUUGUGCCCCCAUCAAGAGCAAGCACCUUCCACGCAGAUAGAAGUACAGAGAAACCUAACGUUACAUUGUGGAGGGGACAGCUUUGGAAUAAAGGCAAACUUGUGUGCCACGUUUCCCUAAAAUCAGCAGCACGACUUUUCCUUCCAUGCAAGCUUCCUGAGAAGCUUGAGGUUGAAAAAGUUCUAAGCAUUGAUCAAUUGAAGAAAAAAAUUUCACCAGCAUUGUUCCUGAAAGAAACUUACCAAGAAAGAAUAGAAGUGUGGAAGAAUGGCGUGUACUGUAGCCUGUAUGAAGUUGUGGAGAAGUCCCGUUCUGGGAGUCACUUAGAGGGUUUACUUCAAAAACUAGAGAAAGAGAAACUUGUCCUUGUGAAACCACUUGUGGACAGAGGAUUUCUUUUUCUUCUUUCUCCUUGGCAAAUGAUGUCCCCUUAUGAGCACCAGACUGGGCGGUCCCGUGUGCUUCAUGCAUUGUUUCUGUUUCCAGAGUCUAGAGGUGUCAUUAACUCAGCACAAAAAAGUGGUCCAUAUGGAACACAGAAAAAUUCAACUACCGUGGUUUUGCACGAGAAAAAGGAAAUUGUUCCAGAAUUCAGCAAGUUGGUUCCAUCUCUGCAUUUUGCUUUGCUGCGGUCCUGUAGACACAGCGGUGUAGCUUACAAUGAUGUUGUGGAAAAGUACAUGCAUGAGUACUUUAGAAAACUCUACAAUGGCCCUGGAAGAGGUAGAGAAUUUACAUUUCGUGAGUACUCAACACAGCUGGAUGACAAAAGAUUUCUGUUCCCUGCCCCAAAAUACAAAGGUCCCAUUGGCACAUGCUUGCAGAACUAUAUUUUCGGUUCUGAGACCUAUCAGCUGCCCGUUUCCAGAGCUAAGGAGCUGCUGGAUAGGAAUCGGAAGCCUCAGCGCUUCAGCCCCAUCUCCGAUUAUGAAGCUACAGAAGACUACUCUGACUUUGCCAAGGCAAAACGCAGGAAAAGAAUCUAUCCCAGAUAUGAAGCCACUGCUGCCAAAAAAAAAGUGCCUCCUUCUGGAGAACGUGAUACUGAAAGAAUCAUGGAUCUUAUUAACUUGAUCCACUGUAUAAAGAAAAAUGUUGGUGGAGAUUCUGAUUCUGAAGACCCCAGAAUUAGGAGUGGUCUGAAAAGAAAGCUGGAAAAACAAUCUGAAAAUUUGCAGAAAUACCUAAAAAUGAGUGACUCUUCAGAGAAUAUUUGUCACUGGGAAGGCGGCAGAACCUUGGAUUCACCACACUAUGUGUUCCCAGUGAAUUCUGAGCACGGUGGCCACGAGGGUGACUUCAGGCAGGAUGUGUCGGACGCUGCAGCCGAGCCGGAGGGGCUGGUCAGAGCGGUGCUGGAGAUGCUGGCUGCUGCCGGCCCCUGGGACCCCGCGCUGGCACAGUCUGUCGCUCAGACCUUAGCCUUGGGCACUGAGGAAGUUGAAGAGGAUGUGAGACAAAAGUAUGAGUAUGAAUCCAUUCCAGCUCAGGACAGAGACGGUCAUGAGCUUCCUAACACUGCUCAGGCUGACAGCGUCACCUUCAAGGACCCGCAGAGCCCGGCCGUGCUGGAAACUGACGUGCCGUGCUUGCCCUACCCCGUGGAUGUCAGUCUGCAGCUCCCACCCAACGAAGCCCCCCUUGAGCACACACUACAUUUACAGGAAGCAAACGCUGGGAGUACCAUUGAAGACUGCAAUCCCUGUCCUAGUACACCUAUAGAACAUGGCUAUCUCAGGCAGCAUCCCUGCUCAGAUACUGUAGGGGAAGUUGGAAUGCACUGGAAACUUAUCCCAAUUACAGGUCUGAAAUCACCAGAAGAGCCACUGGAAUAUUUGCCACCAACGGAUGCACUUCCUAAUGACCCCCGGGUAGUAAAUAGACAGAGAAAUUCUGAUUAUCAAUUGCCAUGCUCUCCAUUUUCAGACACACAGAAGGGGACAGCAGAAGAUGGACAUUACACAGGACAAGUGGAGAAACUUGAAGACCAGUAUGAGCUAACAGAUCAACCUUUUACAGCUAAGCAUUCCAUUAGUGCAGUAAUAGAGACAACACUGUUAGAAGAAUAUAAGCUCUUUGCAAGAAAGAUUGAAGAAAUUCUGCAGCAAAAAAACAUUCCUUAUGUCAGUGACAUGUCCACACCAGUCCUUUCUGCCCAGGAGAGGAUAAUGAGACUUUCUGAACACAUCUGUUUGCAGGCAUCAGAGAUUUCUGUCCAAGAAUACGUAGAGAGCCUGAUUGAGAAGCUGGACAGUGUCAUUUUGGCUUCUUCAUGCAUGAAACGGACUCCCCCGGUUUAUUCCAGUCCUGAAGCCCUGGCGGUGGUGAGCAGCACUGCCCCCGACGCGCUGGCCGUGUGCAGGGACAGCAGCGGCACAGCGCCGCUCCAGGAGCCGCCCUGCAAUCACCUGGGGCAAGAGCCGCACUCCCGGGAGCAGCCUCCAGCAAGCCCAGCCCUAGGGAAGGAGAAAAUGAGUCAUGGGAGUGCUAAACCAGAGGAUCAGACUUCUUCUGGUGGUGAUCUCAGGGAACCACCAGAAAAGACUCAGAAGUCCCCUAAGAACUUAAACAUUUCAACUCAACCAGCUUUUUCUGAUUUGAUAAGCAAGUUAAAACCUGAAUUAUUUACUGGUUUUGUCCAAAUAAUGGAAAAUGUACGGAAAAACAGUGUCAAAUUUUAUAUUCAUGAAGAGGAAGAAAGUGUUCUCUGCAGAGAAAUCAAGGAAUAUCUUAGAAAGUUAGGGAACACAGAGUGCCAUCCAGAGGAGUUCCUUAAAAGAAGAGAUAAUUCGGAUAAACUGUUGAUCAUUAUCCAAAAUGAAGACAUUGCCAAUCUCAUCCAUAAGAUCCCUGGCCUGGUGACUCUGAAGAGGUUCCCCUGUGUCAGCUUUGCAGGGGUCGAUAGUUUGAACGAUGUGAAAAAUCGCACUUACCACGACCUGUUUGUGUCUGGGGGUUUUGUUGUGUCAGAUGAAUCUGUCCUUAACCCAGAGUCCAUCACUACAGAUAAACUAAAACAGUUCCUAACAUUUCUGGAGGAUCUCAAUACCCCAGAUGGGAAAUGGCAAUGGAAAGUCCACUGCAAAAUACAAAAAAAACUGAAAGAGCUGGGGAGGAUAAAUGCCAAUGCCCUGAACCUGCUCACCCUUCUGAACACCUAUCAAAAGAAGAACUUGGUUGAGAUUCUGUCUUACCAUAACUGUGAUUCUCAAACUCGAAAUGCUCCAGAACUUGAGUGUCUCAUCAGGCUUCAAGCUCAAAACAUACAACAGAGACAUGUUGUCUUCCUAACAGAAAAGAAUCUCAAGACGCUCUCGAGUUACGUUGACAGUGGCAUAGUGGUUGCUGCUGUUGACGACUUUAUGCAUAACUUUGAAAGUCUUGUUGGGUUUCACAACUCUGUUACUGAGCAGAACAACCUUGCUUCCUGCAGUGAUGGCCAAAGACAAUCAGAUGCUGUUUUGACAUUGUCCCCUUUGGAGCUGGGAGUUGGGAUUUCCCAGCACUAAAUAUGAGCACGGUGUGCAGAAGCUUUUAGCACCAAGUAACUGGACACUCCCACAGAGGGUUAAGUGUGUGUGUUGAGUAAGUGAACACGAGUGGCAGAAGACCAAGACUUAAAGUGCUGUUGGACUGGCAAACCUGAAGUGUAACACUGCUUGCAGAGGCAGCAGCCCCAGGGAGCAGCUGUGGAGUUGCUGCAUUGCUCACUUGGCUGAGACUCCUCCUGGCUUUUAGUGCUCAUCUUCAGGUUGCCCUAAGUCCUGUGUUUGGGGGACUUGCUGUUUGUAAUUCGAUUUUAGUGCUUUUCUCUGGGAUGUGCUGUUUGGCACCAGCCUUUCUGUGCACUGCUGUGACAUCGAGAGGUUACUGCACAACAGUAAAAAGCAACUAACAGAGUGGCUCAAGCAGCAGCACUGCAAGGUGAGGUUUCUGCCCUCCGGGAUGCUGUCAGUACCGUGGGUGUGCUGUGUCGAGGGCCGGCUCGGCGGUGCCUCCGGGGGGAGGCAGAAAACCUCCCGUGUGCGCACGUAGGGCACGAAGCGCGCCCAGGGCGGGCUCGGGGGGGCGGCGGCGGGGGAGCUCCUCUGCUGCGAGGCUGCCGGGGCGUCCUGCUCGCUCCCACCCAGCUCCUUACACAGCAGGAAAUGAGGAGCCUGCAUCUGUCUUUGUUGUACUUGGAGUAAUCUGUUCCUAACUGCUGGAACAGGUGGUGAUUCAGAUCUGUAUGGAACAAUUGAAGUUAGAAAAAAGCUCAAACAAUACUUCAGUAAUGUGAUUUUCUCAAAUAACAGAGACUAAGAAUCUUUGAAGGACACGAUUUUUGUUUAUUUAUUCUGCUUUUAUACCUGCAAUCUGUAUGGUCUUGUCUUUCUUUAAUAAUAGACUAUUAGAUGUAUCUAAAUUCUUUAAAAAAAAAAUCAGGAAAGAAAAGCACGUGCAUUUCUGUAAUAAUGUAUUCCUACAUUUUACUAAUGCAGAGUACUGACGUACCUUUCUUCAUUCAAGUGAUUCUUAUGAAAUUUUUCUUCCUAGGAGAAAACCAAAAAAGUCAAAAGUAAAACAAAAGUCUCCAUGUUUUUUAUACUAAAAGCUUUGAUUUUUCAGAUGAAGUUUAUUCUGAAAUUCUAAAAGGACUUGUUUGACUUGGGUUCAGGAGAAAGGUAUUUAUCCAAGCUUUGCAUAUAAGAGACUUGUAGUGCCCAUGAAAUAAAUCAACACAUUACAAUUUUCUGAAUUUGGCAGCUCUAAGUACAAUCAAAAAAAUCAUGUCUAUUUCCCUGUCCUUGGAACAUAGGAAUUUAUAAACCUGAAAGGUUCAAUCCAAGAUAUUAAAGGAAAUGUCCAGAAUUUUGUUAUUUGAAGUGUGAGAAAGUGAGGUGUUUAUUGCACACAGAGAGUGAACAAGUUAGAGAUAUAGAGAGUGAGCAAGAGAGAAGCUAAAAAUAUAUUUGAUAGUAUUUUCUUUAAAAGAUUUUUUUCCAGCCACAAGCUCUACUGAUAAAAUACUGCAAAUGGAGAAUGACUCCACUAAGAAGAAUGCAUUUCUGUGGCACUGGAGUACAUCCUCAGUAAUCCAUAUUCUUUGCAGAAAUAAACAUUGUUUUUUUGAGCAGGUGCUGCUGUACCUCACCUGUCAGCACAACACAAUGACUGGACAAAAGAGAGCAAGUCAGUGAUGUCACUGUGUCCUGCACACUGCUUGCAUUUAAGCUCUCUGUUUACAUCAUGAAUCAGCGUUAGUGAGCAAAUGAAAAGGAAUCAACACUUUGGAAGACUGAAAUAACAGUAAAAACUCAGUCACAAAAUCUGAGUAUGUUCUCCUGCUCCUGAAUAUCAGAGUGCUGACAUAAGGAUGAGCAAUAGGAGAAUUUCAAUGCUCUAGUUACAUAACUGAAUUCCCACCCAAGUAAAACUGUGAGGAACAAAAGUUUUUAAAACACACCAUUGUUCUCAAAGGCCAGACAGUGACCCACCUUUCUGCCUCUGUGGCCCUUACUCUUCCCAGCUGCUUCUUCCCGGGGUGAGAGGGACCUGGCUGAGUGCCCCCCCCUUCGUGCACUGAGCUGCCCGGGGCUGUUCCUUUCCACCAGCUGCAGCAGCUCCAUUUGGCGGCGCACCUUGUUCUCCUCCCUCUGUCUCUGCAGAGCUUUGGGGUACCUUUCUGAGGCUGGAAUGAAUCUUUUCCCAGGCUUGUUUAUGUUCCAGUCAGGUCUUUUGCUGUAUUUUUCCGAAGAUUUAAUGUGCCUUUCUUUUCUUGCAUAUUGCUCAUAUAGAUCACUGUAAAUACCACCAGUCCCUUUUCCUGGAAGUUUAUUUUUAUCCAUAUACUGCAUUUCCUUCUGGUAUUUUUUGCUGUUAGACAUUUCUUUAUAUUCUAUGGAAAUAUCAGGCGAUUCACAACAUGCAGUUCUUUCCUCAGCUGACUCUAUGUAUGCUGAAGGAUUAAAGCAAUCUAAAAAAAAAAAUUGUAUUUUAACUCCAAGUCUGAGCUAUUCAAAUUACGUGGUUGGCUUUUGUAUAUGUAUCAAUCUACCAUUACUUAUUUUAUUUUAAAAAUGGUUGCUACAGUUUUACAAUGCUUUUUUAUUCUUUUUUUCUGUGGAAGACAGAUAGGACCUGUAGAAGCAAACUCAGUGACGAAGGGAUAAAACACAGAAGCCUGGAGAACCAAAUCAAGUUACCUUAAAAAUUUGGACCUAUGUGGCUUGUGACCCUAAGCUGACACAGUAUUCCAGACUAUGGGAUUUGUAACUGAUGCCAUCUGAUGUCAGCUAUCUGUCACUUCCUGUACCAUGGUUUAAUGAAAUGAAAGGAGCCCAAAUAAAAGUAAUAAACCCCAUCUUACUCCUACUUGCACAGGAAGGAGACAGUAAAAGCUCCCCAGCAAAUGUCAGGGGGUUGCAGUUCCCUGACUCAGGGGUUCAAGGUGCAGGAGACUGGGCCAAGGAAAAUCUCAUUUCCCAGGUGUUAUUAGGAGCUGAUCCCGCUCCCUCCUGCAUUUGCAGUUGGAAAGAACAACUGGUGCUGUGACACCAAAGGAGCUGAGCAAUUACAGAGGAUGACUUUCCCCAUGUUGAACCAGUCUGUUCAAGCAUCUACAGGCAGAUGCCACACUUCCUUCCAGAAAAUGCAGAGAAAUCAGGAAUCCACAUUUCUGCAGGCUUUGGAGAAGACUGUUUGUGGAAUCACCUUGUCUUAUGACACCAUGGAAUCUGCUACUGUUCCAAAGAGGAAACAAACAGUAAUAGCUCUGCUGUUCCAAAAGGAAGAAUGAAACAUCAGAUAAGUGUUUGACCUUUCACAGGGGUUAAAGGAGAGAUAGAAAUGCAAAAUCUGUAUUUACCAAAGGUAAAAACAUACCUUUGGUUUAACUUUUAUAUGAAAGCACUGUGUAAAGCUCAGCAACAGCUAUGCAAGGGAAAGAUGGAGAACUUGAAUGACUCUUAAAAUGCCUUUUUCAGACUAUAUCCUAAGAAGUCUUUCAUUCAGACUGAAAGCACAUACCCUUGGAUGAACUUCAUGGUACUGAAGCACCUUAAAAGCAUCAAGUUACCAAUAACAAGAAUUGGACCACAUAGUUCGAGGUGUUUUUUAAUUUUAAAUUUGCAUGUUAAAAUGGAUGUUUCUGUGCUAUUUACAACUACAUUUCUGGUUUUGCCAGUUCUUAUAAUUUCUCUUAAUGAAAAGGCCCUUGUUCAAAAAAAGAAUCUGGCCUUAUUCUUACAUGGUAUUGUGUAUUUAUUAAGAAAGUCUACAUUUUGGAUAGUUUUCAUUUUCAAAAUGAUGAGCAAAAUUUUCCAAGUGAGGGACAAGAACUAUUUUCCUCAAAAUUCAGUGUUACCACUGACUAUCUGCACGAAGAUAAUGCAAGCCCCACCUCCUUUUGUUUUUGUUUCAGCAUUUCUUCUUCAAACUGCUUCUGCAGUUGUGCUUUUUCUCGUGCCAGGCGCAGCUCUUCCUGCUGCUCUUGCCAUUUUCUCUGCUCUUCCUCCAGUUGUUUCUGCUUCCGUUUUUCUUCCACCUGAGCCAUUAUUGCUUUCUGGCAGGAUCAGAAAAAAAAAAGGACAAAGUAAAAGAUACAACAUUAACAUAUUGUAAGGUAUUUAUUAAUGUAUUUUUGUAUAUGUGUAGGAUUGGAUUUGGACAAGUGAAAAAAAACACAAAGACAAUGUAUUUCAAACACUCAUCGUUUUGUUUCUGGAAAACCACCAGCCCAACUGAGCAGUCUGAAAUACUCAGAUAGAAAAAAGGAGCUUUUUACGUUUUAGAAGAUACUUAUUUUUUCUUGUAAAGAGAUGAACGUCUGAUUUUCACCUUACUGGUGAAAAAGCUCCUGGUAAUCCAGGAGUUUGAUCCAGCAGAGUAACAGUGUGAUCAGAACAGUCUCUACAUUUAUAUUGAGACUUCUUCACACUGUGCUAGAAACACCAGCACAGAGACACACAUUGUUAGGGUGCCACAGAGGUUAGGUAAAUGUCAGUGAAGUAGAUAAAAAACUAAAGGUUCAUGGAGUGGGAAUCUGUAAAUAUCAGAUUUCUCCUCCUUAUAACAGUGGAGACUGAAGGAAAAUGCACACAAACCUGCUAGAGCUCUAAGGACUGAACUGUACCUUUUUUGAGGCAGGGACUCAGCAACAGAAGUGCAAUAAUCUCGUGCAAAUAUUGAAAGAGAAUUGUAGAGGCUGACUGAAGGAAAUACUGCCAAACAAUGCACGUGUCAUCUACAGUGUAAAAGUCAAGUGCCUCCCCGGGUUCUGGUAUUAAAUGUCAUGCUUUAUUCAUGAGACAUUACCUUUCAUCCUUCCUGCUUAUUAAAUAAUUGUGAGGCUUUAACACCCAAGUGUACCUGAUGUUCCAACUGCUUCUGCCGCCUCCUGUCCCUCUCCUCAAUCUGUGCAGGGUCCAGCAGAGCCGUCAUGGAACGGAGGAAACUGAACAAAGGGACACGUCAGUGUUUCUAAUCAUGAAAAAAUAGUCCUUAAGCCUUCCCUAAUUAGAAUCAGUUAGGUUGCAUUUUCAUAAUGAGGUUAUUCUGUUAAUUAUAAGUUAAUAUAUAAAUUAAUUCAUAGAUUAGGAAAUCCUUUUCAUUAAGCAACAACUUAAGAUUAUUUGCAGUAAAUUUCAUUAGUAAACAUUGGCAGCACUUGUGUCUUUCAGCAGUGAAACAACAGGUAUUUAAAAAAAAAAAAAACAAAAGCCAAAUGAAUGUAAUGGAAUUUAUUAUUCUUUUUUUUUUUUUUUCUGAGGCGGUACCAUAAAUGUACUGGCUGGGAAAAUAAUUACCCUUACAAAGCUCACUCACCUGGCUCUCUGACUUUGCUCCAAAGCACCAUUUUUAGCAGCUUUUUCUGCAGUUCCCAUCUGUGAGGGCAUGAGGUUGCCUAAAGCUGCAGGGGACACAGGGUGAAUGAAAGCAGUCGGGUCCUUGGGGUCAGGUGACAAGGAAAGACUUUCAGGCUGUCUGUGCAUUCCAUUCAAGGGGUGUUGUGCAUUAGCAUUAAAGUGGUUCUUAAAAGAAUCAAAAUGCAUUUCCCAUCUGUCAUGCUCUUCUGCCUAAAUAAGUAUCAGGCAAACAACAACAAAAAAAGAAAAUUAAAAAAAAGAAAAAGCAUUUAGUUACACUGUCUGUAAAGUGUGAAGUGUGGUUAAUAAAACAGACAAUGCACAUUUUGUACAGCAGGAACAUUUGAAAAGCUACAAUGCAGACAGCAGUUAAUUCCUUAAGUGAGAAGACAAUUAAAAAUUCCUUAAGUGAGAAGACAAUUAAAAUGCAAGUCAAAUCACAGAUUAUAAUGCUGAUCCAUACCUGUGAUAGUAUAGGGAUAAAAUGUUUGUAAAAUCAUGGGAUAUUCAGGGGAGUUGGAAAGAAAGGCUGGGCUCGGUAAGCCCUGGGAAAAUGUUUGGCUUUACUGGAUCAUGUGAAACUGCACCUUUUUAAUCAUUUAAUGACUAUGAUAAAUGAUAGGAUUGUUGCAUGAUAAAUGAUGAUUGUUAAGUGUGAUGAUUGUUUGGUAAUUGGAUAUAAUUAUUGUUUCAUCGUAACAGGAAUCAUGAGAAACAAUGUUUGGGGGGUUUGACGGAAAUUACAAGAAUGCUUGGCUGAGAUCAAUGUAUACAAUAGAACAAUAUAAAUUCAACAAUUAAUAUGUAGUUAUAUAACAAUAAGGGUAUAAAAACAUGUUCAUCCCAAACCCAUGUUGGAGUCAGAUUUGGGUCUGUACCCCUGACACCCAGAGCUCUUUAAUAAAAGCACCUGCAUAUAAUCAUUCUGAACACUAACACCUGGUCAGCACUAACAUACUGCUACUACCUCUUCAUGAAAAAAAGGAAAGGGUCACUCCCUGGUGACUGCAGUCCUCCUUCCACAGCACACCUACCCAAUUAACAAGGCAGCUAAUGAAGGAACAUAUCCCAGCUGUGUUCCCUUCACAGUUAAAAACUCGGUUUACAAAGGAAGCCUGAUGCCCUCAGCAACUCAGGAAAAGACAAGGCUUGUGUUGUGUGCAGGUCUGUAACCACCUGGGCAGCAAGGCUGGCUCUGGAGGCUAAAGAAAGGUAAGGCUAUUUUCUUCCAUACUUUCUGGUAAAGUACUUGUGUGAAAUACAAAGCUGUGUUUUGUGUCAGGUAUAUACAGGCAAUGUGUGCGUUUGUGAUUGUAAUAGUGUGGAAACUGACUGUGGGACAGUUAUAAAGACGAAUUCUAAUAAUAACUGAGAAAAAUAAAGCAUGGAAGAAGGCCUUUGAACCUAUCCUUUGCUUGCAAUUAAACUUCAUAAGUCUUAAGUUGAUUUAGGAGCAUUUGAAUUAAAGCUUUAAGGAUGUUGCUUUUUGACAGGAACUUUGUGCUUGUAGUUAAGCCUUAAAGAGUUUUGCAAUAAUAACCUUCUGAAGUAUAAUUUUAGAAUACUGCUUGUAGUAAGGAUCUUUGAAACUAUAGCAUUAGAAUAUAUAAAAAGGAAACAUGCAGCUUGAGAAAGGAACAUGUACAUCAACUCAAGGACUAAUCGUUUCGACCAAGGGAAGCUGGACAUCACUGUUAGGAGAUUUAUAACCCGUACAAUCAAAAGGUGGACCCACAUCUGGAAACUGGACUUCACCCUAUGGAAUACUCUUUUCUUCUUUAGGAAACUGAACCACCACCACCUGGGAUACUCCUUUCGGGAUGUACAUCCUGAGAAAAACUAAAUCACACUAGUGUAUAAAAUUGUGAAUAGAAACUGCUGACGAGUAAAAAUUGGGAAUAGAACCUGCUGAGAAAGCUUAUGAGUACCCCUAUAAAUACCUGCAAGCCCCAACUAUCAGUGUGCAGUUGGAGGGAAAACUUCCCCCACUGUACCCAGCGCUGUGUUGCUCAUACUUUACCAUAUUAAUUAAUAAAUUGAUUGUUGCUUGAA